AACGCACCUUGCGCCUCUUGGUAUUCCGAGGGGCAUGCCUGUUUGAGUGUCAUUGAAACCCUCAAGAGGGGAAGCUUUUUGUGGCUUCUUCUUUUGGAAUUGGAGUGUGCUGGCCUUUUAGAAGCCCAGCUCCUCUGAAAUGCAUUAGCGAUGUGACAUCCUCGUGCCAUCACGCUUCUCCAGCAUUGAUAAGUCUCUUUCAUGCUCGAGUGUGUUGUGCUUAGGUGGAAAGUUUUGCUCGCUCACAGACCCCGUUGGGGGGCUUUGCUCCCCCAUGCUUUGACCAAAUUAACCUCAAAUCAGGUAGGAUUACCCGCUGAACUUAA
rnacentral:misc_RNA from 1 species